UACGAAGGGGGCUAGCGUUGCUCGGAAUCACUGGGCGUAAAGGGUGCGUAGGCGGGUCUUUAAGUCAGGGGUGAAAUCCUGGAGCUCAACUCCAGAACUGCCUUUGAUACUGAAGAUCUUGAGUUCGGGAGAGGUGAGUGGAACUGCGAGUGUAGAGGUGAAAUUCGUAGAUAUUCGCAAGAACACCCGUGGCGAAGGCGGCCCCCUGGGCCGCGCCUGACGCUGAGACGCGAAAGCGCGGGGAGCGAACGGG
rnacentral:rRNA from 1 species